UAGCUCAGUUGGUUAGAGCGUGGUGCUAACACCAAGGUCGUGGGUUCGAUCCCCAU
rnacentral:tRNA from 1 species